rnacentral:rRNA from 1 species
GCUUACGGCCACACCGGCCUGAGUACGCCCUGAUCUCGUCCGAUCUCGGAAGCUAAGCAGGGUCGGCCUCUGGUAGUACUUUGGAUGGUGAGACCGCCCUGGGAAUACAAGGGUGCUGUAAGCU